rnacentral:rRNA from 1 species
GUCCUACGGGGGGCAGCAGUGAGGAAUAUUGGUCAAUGGGAGAGAUCCUGAACCAGCCAAGCCGCGUGAGGGAAGACGGCCCUAUGGGUUGUAAACCUCUUUUGUCGGAGAACAAAACCCGGGACGUGUCCCGGACUGCGUGUAUCCGAAGAAAAAGCAUCGGCUAACUACGUGCCAGCAGCCGCGGUAAUACGUAGGGUGCAAGCGUUAUCCGGAUUUACUGGGUGUAAAGGGCGAGUAGACGGCGUUGCAAGUCAGAUGUGAAAGGCUAGGGCUCAACCUUAGGAGAGCAUCUGAAACUGUAA